ACGAACGCUGGCGGCGUGCUUAACACAUGCAAGUCGAGCGGUAAGGCCCUUUCGGGGGUACACGAGCGGCGAACGGGUGAGUAACACGUGGGUGACCUGCCCUCAGCUCUGGGAUAAGCCUGGGAAACCGGGUCUAAUACUGGAUAUGACUCCAUGACGCAUGUUGUGGGGUGGAAAGCCUUGUGCGGCUGAGGAUGGGCCCGCGGCCUAUCAGCUUGGUUGGUGGGGUGANGGCCUACCAAGGCGACGACGGGUAGCCGGCCUGAGAGGGCGACCGGCCACACUGGGACUGAGACACGGCCCGGACUCCUACGGGAGGCAGCAGUGGGGAAUCUUGCGCAAUGGGCGAAAGCCUGACGCAGCGACGCCGCGUGAGGGAUGACGG
rnacentral:rRNA from 1 species